rnacentral:tRNA from 1 species
GGGUCGUUAGCUCAGCUGGUAGAGCAGCGGACUUUUAAUCCGUUGGUCGCGGGUUCAAUUCCCGCACGACCCACCA